UCUGCUACGCACGUUCUGCCUAAAGGAGGAGAAAACUAGGGUAGUUUUGAAAAGAAACAAGCAGCGGUGUUGAUUCAUUUUUUCACCGAAGUUUGAAGACCUGAGAGUUGAACGUAUUAGGCUAUAUUUAUAUUGAGAUUUGCCGAAGCUAAUAGCAGUUUGAGGUGAUUCGAAUUUACGGGAGCAUAAUUGAUUAUUCGAAAGGGGUGCUUGGAUUGAGACUUUAAGAUACUGUAGCAGAGGGUGAGACUAGUGGCUAACUAAUUCGUUCGAGUGGAUUAUGUCGCUGAGGUGAGCCUUCGCAUUGUUCGUGGAGGCUACUGUUUUAGUUUUACCUAUGUUUAGCUUAUAAUUUCUCUUUUUAUGGGGUUUGAAUGCACGACAGUUGAACUCAUGUAACUCUAUUUAGAUGCUCCAUGGUCUUAUUGUGGGAUUUGGGCUAGAUAUACAUUAUUUAAGUGCUCGUUUCUUUUCAU